UGCAAGUCGAACGGAAAGGCCCUUUCGGGGGUACUCGAGUGGCGAACGGGUGAGUAACACGUGGGUGAUCUGCCCUGCACUUCGGGAUAAGCUUGGGAAACUGGGUCUAAUACCGGAUAGGACUACGCACUGCAUGGUGUGUGGUGGAAAGCUUUUGCGGUGUGGGAUGGGCCCGCGGCCUAUCAGCUUGUUGGUGGGGUGAUGGCCUACCAAGGCGACGACGGGUAGCCGGCCUGAGAGGGUGUCCGGCCACACUGGGACUGAGAUACGGCCCAGACUCCUACGGGAGGCAGCAGUGGGGAAUAUUGCACAAUGGGCGCAAGCCUGAUGCAGCGACGCCGCGUGGGGGAUGACGGCCUUCGGGUUGUAAACCUCUUUCACCAUCGGCGAAGCCUCAUGCUUUUGUGUGGGGUGACGGUAGGUGGAGAAGAAGCACCGGCCAACUACGUGCCAGCAGCCGCGGUAAUACGUAGGGUGCGAGCGUUGUCCGGAAUUACUGGGCGUAAAGAGCUCGUAGGUGGUUUGUCGCGUUGUCCGUGAAAUUCCCUGGCUUAACUGGGGGCGUGCGGGCGAUACGGGCAGACUGGAGUACUGCAGGGGAGACUGGAAUUCCUGGUGUAGCGGUGGAAUGCGCAGAUAUCAGGAGGAACACCGGUGGCGAAGGCGGGUCUCUGGGCAGUAACUGACGCUGAGGAGCGAAAGCGUGGGGAGCGAACAGGAUUAGAUACCCUGGUAGUCCACGCCGUAACGGUGGGUACUAGGUGUGGGUUUCCUUCCUUGGAUCCGUGCCGUAGCUAA
rnacentral:rRNA from 1 species